AUGAAUGCAGCUCAGGCAGAGGAAUCAUCAGAUGUCAUCAUGGGUAACUUUCCAGUUAACUCUAUUCCUGCAAAAGUUCUUUUUGACACUGGUGCAUCGCAUUGUUUCAUGUCAAGAUCAUUUGUUUCCAAGCAUGACUUCGUUUCGCAAAUAUUGGGUAAACCUAUGGGAGUGGUUUCUCCGGCUAAGUCUAUGAUGGCUACUUCAAUAGUCCCGGAUGUUUCUAUCAUGUUGGGUGACUUCAAGUUUCUGGCUUCUCCAAUGGUUCUUGGUAACUCGGAUAUUGAUCUUACUCUCGGGAUGGAUUGA
rnacentral:rRNA from 1 species